rnacentral:rRNA from 1 species
AUCUGCAUAUGUAGCAUAUUGUGUAUACAUGCAACUCUCACAUGGUCGCCUACUGAAGCCAAGUAGGGCUGCACCCGGUCAGUACCUGAAUGGGAGACCACAUGGGAAAAAUAGGUUCCUGCAGGAA